rnacentral:misc_RNA from 1 species
UUAAUAAAUUAAUAUAAAAUAAAAUAAAAUAUAACAGAAUAUAUAUAUUUAUUAAAACUUAAUUUAUUAAAAUUUCCCACUUAAUCAUAUUAAUUUAAAAAUAAAUUAAAUAACAAUUUUUAAUAAAAUAAAUAAUAAUUAAUUUAUUUUUAUAUUGAAUUUUAAAUUCAAUCUUAAAGAUUUAAUCUUUUUAUUAAAAUUAAUAAAUUAAUAUAAAAUAAAAUAAAAUAUAACAGAAUAUAUUUAUUAAAACUUAAUUUAUUAAAAUUUCCACA